ACAGCACUCACUUGACCGUGUUGUCUUGAGAAAAUAAAAAACACUUCGUGCCUAGGAUACUCAACUUUACAAUCUCUCACAAGCUGUGUGAAGAGUAUUUCUAAAGGGAGAACAUUGAAGAGGUUCCUCCUGCAAUCCAUUACUCACACUACCUGAUGGACACAAUCCUCUUCACCUCCUACCCUUUUCAUGAGAAUGUCAACAAAAAGAAAAUUAGCAUAUUAGAAUACAGGUGUAUCUUGAAGGCACGUUGAAGAGCAGGACAAAGAAUUGAAGACUUUAGUCCUCUGAUGGAUCAAACACUUCUUAAAAUUAGAACAAACAUAUCCCCAAAUGCAGUUCCUAAUGCAUUGUGUGAAGAAAUCCUCAGUUCUAGUCCUCAUUCCAUAUGCUAUAUGAUCCUGUGACAGCAUUUGUCAUUUUCUGUAGGCUUCUGUCAUCUAUUCAGUACAACUAGACACGCCAUUGUAAGAAUCAGAUAAAUGUUAAGCUUGUCUUCAACCCCAUGGUUCAAAACAAAGUACACAAUUCAGUCAAGGGAAACUACUGUUGUUCACCCUCACUGGAUUUGACUAACGGAAAUGGUCUAUAAUUCCACAAAAAAGGCUUUCCCUGAGAAGAUACUCAGUAUUUUGGUUUCCAUCCCUAUUCUCAGCAUCCAAUUGAAUUUUUGGGGUUUUUUACCUCUGUCUCUUUGGAGUCACAAGUAGACCAGAAGGUGUCAAGAACUCAGACACAUUUUUGUUGUCAGCAUCUGCUGUACCUGAAGACCGGGAGUCUGGAAGCUGCAAUGCCUCUCUCAUUCGGAUGUACCCAUCAGCUACCUUGAGUCUGACAGUGCGGGCCUUCUAAAAUUGAGGAAAUGUUUUUGGAUUGACUGAAGCAUAUUUGAAUAUGGAGGCAAAAUUCACUGAAUGCUACUACAAAACCCCAAAGGAGGACAAGAAGAAUUUGAACCAAGAGUUCCAGAUUAAUGUCCAAGAACUUUGAAAUCAACUUCUAGUUUGGCACCUGUAAUAAAGUAAAGCCUUAAACCAAAUGAGUUCAGAAAAUACAUUAAAUGCAAUUUAUUUUCCUGUCUAACGAUUAGAAAAAUGACAAACCUAGUCAAAUCAAAAUGGCAAUUUGGUAUUGUCCACAAUACCCCUAUAGAGGAAACUGAAGGUGUAACUUUGUUCUGUGUCACAAAUUCUCAGCUGCAAUCCUUUUCCCUUCAUGCUCAUUCUGUGCUCUGUAAUGAGUCACUUACCUUUACAUAAUUUAAAUAUUUCAGGCAUCCUACUAUGAUUAUUUUUAAAGCGAUUGCUGAAAUAGAAACGAAUGUCUCCCAGCAAUGUGUAUUCCUCUCAGGCUCUUAUAAUGAGGAUGAUCGCUUAAUUAGCAUGUUUGUUUCCACUAGGGUAUACCAAUUAAGAGAUAUAACCACACUGCUGUACAUUCCUAUUAAUGCUUUUCUACAUUUAAAGUAAGAUCACACAUUUCAGCAGGUGUACCUUUUAAUGUUAACAGAAGAUUUUCCAAAGGAUUGAGCUAUUUUGCCAUCUGUUUCUUAUGCUGGUAUGCUUAAAUUACUAGAAACUAGACAUUAGGUGGGUUUUUUUAGAGCUGCCAGAAUAUUAACUUUAUUUCAUAGUUUUCACAAAUGCAUUCAAGCUCAUAUUUUAAUAAAUAUACAGCGGACAUGAGUAAUGAUAUCACAGAAACUCUACUUCCACAGAUGUGUCAUCCCAAGUAAUUUUGCUUUUGUGUGCAUAUUGUGCUUGGUAGUUAUGGUAGCAACAUUUUUCUGAAGAAUUCCUAUAUUGAGUCCUUUGUUUCUCCUUACUCUGGAUAUAAACCUCAGCGCUUCUUUUGCCUGUUCUAUUUUUAAUGCUAUAAAAUAUGUUUGCUUCUGCUCAUUAUGACUUUGCUAAAAAAAAAAACAAGUAAUGCAAAGCUGACGUUUGUUUCCAACUAUUUUUGAAUCAGGAGCAGAGUAAUCUAAAAUUCUUAUGCUGUCGUCAUUACUACUAAAACUCAUCUUGUCACAUUCUUAUAUCUCAAUUUAAAAUCUGUUUUGUACUUCAGCCUUGUUUCUUUCCUAAAAGGACAAAAAAAUUUCAAAAAAUUAGGUUUUUUACUCACUAAAGUGUUCUAAUACAUAAAGUUUUCACAAAAGUGUUAAUUAUUGAUGUCUAAUUACUCUGAAAUUUGCAUGCACAAAAGUAGCUGGAUUUUAUUUGAAAAUUCCUUUUAAAUAUGUGUACACGUUCUCCCAGUGUAGAUCUAUAAAGAAUCUGCUUGAUUUUCAACUAGACUUCUACUAGUUGAUCUGUGCUACACCUGAUUAAUUAAUUUAGAAUUAUUAAGCCUACAGAAAGCACUAUUAAAAACUCAAUAUUGCAAGUCUCAAGCACAAUUUUUGCAAUAUCUAGAUGUCUCAUGUGUCCCCCAAUUCAGGUCUCAGCCUUAAACAAUCAUAGUAUGUUUUAUAGUCUUAUUUUUAGCAAUCGCAGUGUUGCAAUUGCUAGAAGGCUUUUCAAACCUUCUCUUCAACAAUGACAGUUUAGUUAGUGGACAGUUCUGUCAGUCUUCUUUUUUUAUAGAGGAUAUCAUGCUGAUUCAAAAGUAGUGGCAAUUUUCACAAAUUCACAACUCCAUGAGUUGAUGUUUCAAGAAGAAACAUGAAACAGAGAAUUGUGUAGCAGAACUGAAUCUUGUCUAUAGCUCCAAUGCUUAGAAAUGCAAUUGCAUAGUAUCAUUAUCUGUGUGGAACAGAAAAUAAAGAGUUUUAAAUAAAAUUCUGCAAAUGUGCUAACACCAGAACAGCAAAUAAGGACUCGUGAAUAAUUUUUUCUUAUGCACAGUAACUUUAGAAUAAAAAAGACUUAUAAAAAUGGGAUUGUAUCCGAACAUUCCCUUUCCCAAUAGCUUUUAAUGCAUUACAGUCCUUUUAUGAAGUACAUAUAUGUACUGAUGGCUAUAUAAUUACAUUUCUUUAAAGCCUAUCACUGUAAAACUCUGUUUUCACUUACUCUUUUGCCAAACUGUAAGCAUUAAUUUUGGACUAUGAGAAGUUUUCCAUGACAGUUGGCUUACAUUGAUUUCUUCCUGGAAAAGAAAAAAUUCUCAGAACAAAAUGGAACAAGCAAAAUAAAACAAUUUAAAAAAAUUCACUAAAACAUCCUAGAACAGUUCUAGACGCAAAGACUCUGUUUCUGGGGAUACUAACACCAAGGUGUACCGCUGAGGAUCUUAGAAAAUGUUUGACCCCUCCCCAAAAACGGGGGGAUUUUUCCUCUAAAAUAUCCACUUGAGAAUACUCACUAGGGCCUUGACAAACAUAUAUAGGCUUAUUCCAUAAGGUUUCCAUUUUCAGCUCAGUCUCAUGACUGCAACACCUGGAUAAGACUUUACCUACAGAUGUAUCUCAGACAAUCAAUCUUCUGUCUACCUCCCAGUCCCUAACUCCAUACAUAAAAGAUUUUAGGACUCAUUGAAGGAAUUUGUAUAUAUCAAAUAUGUUUCACCGUUUGCACAUUUAGUCUAAACAGGCUGGUGAUUUCAUGGUAAUAUUGACCUGAAUUGUUAUUCAUUUCCAAAUUAAGACUCCUCAGUGUAGGUAAGUAUCCAUACCAUGUGCAGUAAGUGAUUGACAUUCAGUUAAUGGAAUUAAUGGAGAUCUAGGGCUCAGCUCAGUUGCUUAAACAUCAUCUAGUGUCAAUAGAGGGAGUCCAGGAUAUCCCAACAAGCAUCUGAAUCCUACAACCACAGAUCUAUGAAACUCUCUUCAAUCCUAUGUUGUCUCUGUCAUUCCCUUAUCAAAUACUGUAGGGCAUUUCAGAUGGCAGUUAAAUGGUGCCUCUGGCCUUUACGUGUGUCAGAGCACGAAAAAUGACUCACUUCAUCCUAAAUUAGAGACCAAGCAUCAGCUAGUUUAAGCUCAGGCAUACCCUCAUUCUUGGUUUCUACUUCUCCAGGAUACACCAUCAUGCAAAUAAUUCUAUUUUAAACAACAGGCAUAGAAUCCUUUAUGUCUCAUUCAGCUGCUGUUCAUUGUGUCAAACAUAGGCCAAAAAAUGUAGGAUAACAGACACUAAAUGGGAAAGAGACAGCUUACAUUUUCUAGGAAGAAAGGAUUCAACAGCAUGCAAAGAAAAAGGCAGAAACCACUCUCCUUGCAGAUAAAAAAUCAUUGCGGGUUUACAAGCGAAAAUAGUUUAUUCUGUAAAAAUUUGAGGGGUAGUUUUCAAAAGCAAUUCAUAAUGAAAAUGAGACAGGAAGAUGCUCUUUUUGUACCACUAAAAUUCUGAUGAUUUCAAGGUCCAUUCUGUUCUGAAGCUCUCAGAAUUCAUACAUGUCACUGGCUUCAGAAAAAAAAAAAAAAAAAACACAAAAACAAAAACGAAACCCGAACCACAUAGAAAAGGCACACUGAAGCACAGAAUAGCCACCAGUAUUCAUUAAUAUGUAGGAAACAAACACAAGUGCCUUCUUUUAAUGAAUUAGAUGAGGAUCUGAGAUCUGCAGCUUCAGUUUCUCACAAGCCUGACUCCUCUCAUCACAAAAUUUUUUGAGAUGAGAGACUCACUCACUCUGAGCAGAAAUUACAUAUGGAACGUGAGAUAACUUUUCCAGCUAAAGACUGAAACUGGAAGACUUUGGUAAGAAGAUUCAGUGUAGACAAAUUUUGUUAGAAAAUUCUCCCACCUUAUUUAUCCAACACUGGUCUAUAUUUGCUCUCAUUAAAAGCACUGUUCUCUUCACUGUUGUCACCAAUUUGUGAGGAGUCAGUGUUUAAAGGUAAACUAAGACCAGAAAAUAUAAAAGAACGUAAGUUUUCCAGAACAGAACUUCUCCAAAACUGAGAAAGAUUUAUGUAUUUCUACUAGUAAACGCUUGAAUAAGGAUUAUGUCUCUGACUGACAACAAAUGCUAUGCUAGGGUAUGUGAUGAUGUUGUUUUGAAGUGUUGCUUCUAGUGACUGUUGAUCUGCAUGAAGUCACAGUCAAUGUUUCAGUAUGGAUCUGUAACCUGAGAUUAAAUAUUCACAGGAUAUGAGGAUGACCUUUCUGUGUAAUUGCCACUUCUAAGAAUGGAAAAGACCAUCACAGUGUGUCUCAAACCCUGAUCACAUUGUCUAAGCAAUGCAAUAAUAAAUAAGAGUUUUUCCUGAGGAUGUGUAGAGCUGUUGAUCUAAAAUAGCAACAAUAUCAAAAUAAACACCCAAGUCUAUGACCAAGGUUUUGAAAUAUGCAAAUGUCUGUUUAAUUAUGAGGAGUGUUCAGGACUUAUUUCACAUCACCUUGUACUGACUUUGCCUUGGGGUACCUUUCAUUUAAGGCAGAGUCAGGUUAGGAUUAGAAUUCAGAGAGAGACAAAAACCACAGGUGCAGCUGGAGUGAGGCUGGAAAAAGGGCUACAAAAAGAAAGUGUAAGGCGUCGAGAACUUUGCUGUGAGACACUUUGUCUGGGGACUUUGCCUAAAGCUCAGUCUAUGUUUAGGUUUAAGGUUUACAUUAAGGACAGGGUUAGGUUUAGGACUAGGUCUGAUGGAGAAAGCCAGGAAGUACAGCUAGGGGGAGCUCGAAAAGGAGAAUUUCCCCCAGCACUUUUAAAACAAUUCAUAGUGCAGUAGAAGUACAGUUUUGUCUUACUGUUUUAACAUAAAUUAAUAAAAAGUUGAUAUUUUUACCCUCUUGCUGUCCCAAAACAUCGAUCAAGUAUUCAUCUUCUUGCUUAAUUCUGUUCAGGAUUCACAUGCUGAUGUUUUUCCAUGUGUUUAAAACUGCUUGUUGGUUUUAAAAGUUUCUCACCAUUAACUCCAACAUGUACAUCUGAGUUACAGCAGUUUACCUUAAACAUUAGU